rnacentral:rRNA from 1 species
CCUACGGGAGGCAGCAGUGAGGAAUAUUGGUCAAUGGACGAGAGUCUGAACCAGCCAAGUAGCGUGAAGGAUGACUGCCCUAUGGGUUGUAAACUUCUUUUAUAUGGGAGUCAAAUGUUCCACGUGUGGGAUUUUGUAUGUACCAUAUGAAUCAGUAUCGGCUAACUCCGUGCCAGCAGCCGCGGUAAUACGGAGGAUCCGAGCGUUAUCCGGAUUUAUUGGGUUUAAAGGGAGCGUAGGUGGAUUGUUAAGUCAGUUGUGAAAGUUUGCGGCUCAACCGUAAAAUUGCAGUUGAAACUGGCAGUCUUGAGUACAGUAGAGGUGGGCGGAAUUCGUGGUGUAGCGGUGAAAUGCUUAGAGAUCACGAAGAACUCUGAUUGCGAAGGCAGUUCACUGGACUGCAACUGACACUGAGGCUCGAAAGUGUGGGUAUCAAACAGGAUUAGAUACCCUAGUAGUC